AAAACUUUCAACAACGGAUCUCUUGGUUCUGGCAUCGAUGAAGAACGCAGCGAAAUGCGAUAAGUAAUGUGAAUUGCAGAAUUCAGUGAAUCAUCAAAUCUUUGAACGCACAUUGCGCCCCUCGGUAUUCCGGGGGGCAUGCCUGUUCGAGCGUCAUUG
rnacentral:rRNA from 1 species